rnacentral:rRNA from 1 species
GGCGGGGACCCAAGUACCCCUGGUGGGUGUGCUCGGGCCCGGCCAUCCUUCUGUAAACUUUCGCGCGUCCUUCACCGGUCGGCAAAGGGAUCAGAUAAUUUACCUUGAGAAAAUUAGAGUGUUUCAGGCAGGCUUAGCCGGAAUACAUUAGCAUGGAAUAAUGGAAUAGGACUGAGGUCUCGUUGUUGGUUACGCGGACUACAGUAAUGAUUAAUAGGGACAGUUGGGGGCAUUAGUAUUUAAUAGCUAGAGGUGGAAUUCUCUAAUUUGUUAAAGACUAACUUAUGCGAAAGCAUUUGCCAAGGAUGUUUUCAUUAAUCAAGAACGAAAGUUAGGGGAUCAAAGACGAUCAGAUACCGUCCUAGUCUUAACCAUAAACUAUGCCGACUCGGGAUCGGGAGCGUGUGUUAUCCGCUUUCGGCACCGUAUGAGAAAUCAAAGUCUUUGGGUUCUGGGGGGAGUAUG